GAAUUUUUUACUCUGUCAUUUUCUUGUUCUUUUUCCUCUGAGGCUUUGGCUCUUGACUUCUCUUGGUCUGUUGCUUUUGCUGCUGAGAAAUCAUUGCUGGUUCUCAACAACUCUAGAGAAAGCUCAGAGAGAUAGAGGAAAAUGGGCUGGAAGGAACCUCAGUAAGUCACCCACACUGUUAGUACUCCAAGGUCAACUGCAUGGAAGCCUUCCUUAACGACCAGCUUGUGUCUAAGAUCCUCCACUGAUGAUCAUACGCACACCAUAUUUGUUGGUUUGAGCAAACACCCGCUCUAGGAAGAAGAGGCUGGGAACAGAAGGAUGAAGGACAAGACUCUGGCCCCUUUGAAGUCUGUUGGAAUGCUGCCAUUGACUUCAGCAGGGCCAGGAUUUUAGCUGGAGAUUUCCUUCAAAACCAGCAUUUGUGUCACAUCUUUAACAUGAAUGUUACAGAGAAGAAUCGAAAGGAGGGAGAUGCCAUUCUCUCGGCAGCGUUCCUUUCUCAAGAAAACAACUGCUAUGCCAAGACAUAGCUAUGACAGGAGAGAAAUUCCUGUUUAUCCAAGGUUGUUAUCAAGGGAUGCCCCUGACCCCAGAGCUGACUGAAGUACAGAUCAGAAAUGAAAUUUAGCAGAGCGGGCUGGUGGUGGGGCCACCAAGAGCUAUUUUAGAGGCUGGCACAAGUGCAGUAUUGCAGUUCUCUCCCACCCUGACAGCCUCCAACCAACGCCACACACCACUCCUGACCCAUACUUCCAUGGCACUCCUGACCCUCUAGCUGUGGCAGUCACAGGAGGAGGGAAUAUCUAUAGGUCCCAGGAACCAGUGCAGUUAAUCAGCAUCUUCUUGAUGGCCCUUACCAUGAAGCCACAGAUCUUUCCUACACAUCAGUGGCUAUUGUCUUGGACAUAGCCACUGAAUGACACGAACCACUUCAAGGGAUUUUAACUGUUGAGUACCCAACACAGCAAGCCAGAAAGCAACUGUGAUUUUCCAUCAGAGACUUUAGUCAUCCUCCUACGACUAGAAGACUUUGAGUUUGCUUCAAAACCUCCAUCCCAUCUUCAGCUUCACUCUGAUGCACUCCUUUCAUCAGCAAGCUUUUGAAUGUUUCCGCAAAGCAAAGCCACAAGGCAGUGAACCAAACCAGUCACAUGUGUUAACCAAGCAGUGGCAAGUGCCAUUAGAGAAUGCGUAGGUGUUAAGCAACAAAUAGCACUAAAUCCACAAAUAGCUUUUAUCCUGUUUGCUGUAUCUCAUACACACAAAGAAGUGGCUGCUUAUUUGUUGCCUGGCUUAGCUUCUGCUUGAUUUUGUCUUUAUGAAGGAUUAAAAACAAGUUCUCAGCUUUGGCUCACGGAAAAAAAUAGUUGUCAUCUUCAUUAAUUACCAUUCACAGCCUGCUUCACCUUUGAUCAAAGCCACAAGAUUCAGAAAAUUCACUACAACACACCUUCUGAUGACAUUAAGUUUCAGAUUAACAAUCUGAUGCAAAAAAAAAAAAGGUACCUCAGAUUAAAUGACACUCUCAAGUUGUAUAACACAUUGGAUCUGGUAUUUUCACGUUCAUGAGAUAUUAAACCCAAACAUUUUUGUCAUAUUUGAUCAUUAAACUACUUUCUAAUCAGUAUGGUUCAAUUGUAUUA